AUACAAUGGAAUUAUGCUAAAAUCAAAAAUUUUGGUUGUAACCUCCUCCUAUUUUCCAUUUAUUAUUAAUUUUCAACUUCAAAAAUAAAGAAAAGAAACAAAAGAGAGGAAUAGGAGAGGGCCAUUACCUUUUCAUUACCUUCGAUCCAGAUUAAAUUUUGAAAAAUCCGGCCCUUUCUCCUUAGUUUUCAUUUUUUCCAAAAAAAGGGCUGAGAAGACGCGGAAGGCCAUCUUAAUCUUCCUCCUCUAUUAUGGAAGUGAAAGAGGCUGCCC
rnacentral:lncRNA from 1 species